CAUCCUAAACCCUCCUGGCAGCUCUGUUAUCAGCUUCCAGGGUAAGAGUGAGCACCAGAGAAAACUGUUGAUUAAUCCAAAACAUUGAGCUCCCCUCCCGUAGCUCUUCAUUACUUCACAUCUUCAACAUUC